rnacentral:rRNA from 1 species
AUGGAUUGCAACUUCCUUGUCUGGAACGUGCAUGGGCUGAAUAACCCCGCACGUCGUGCUGUUGUUCACUCUGUUGUUUCCAACAACAAUGUAUCUGUCCUCUGCUUGCAAGAGUUAAAGCUAGAUUUCGUUGAUUUGGGUGUUUUCCAGCAGUGUUGUGGGAGCCGGUUCUUUGAUUUUUUCUUCGCACCUGCAGUUGGUACUAGGGGAGGGUUGAUUCUGGCUUGGGACAGUGCGAUGGUCAAGUUCUGUAAUCCGAUCAUUACUACUAGGUUCAUUGCUGCUGAAGGCACUUUUAUUCAGUCAGGUUCAAAGUUCAAUCUGAUCAAUGUCUAUGGCCCACAAGAUGAUCAAGCCAAGUUAGUGCUGCUUGAUGAGCUCAAACUAACUAUGUCAAGUGGUUUGCCUGCCGGUGCUCCUUGCAUUUUAGCAAGGGAUUUCAACUUGAUUGCUAGAGCCACAGACAAGAAUAACCUGAACAUCAACAGAAGGUUGUUGGCUGCUUUUAGAAAUUUUAUCAAUGAGUUGCAGCUUCGAGAUCUGUACCUACAUGGCCGGCGCUAUACAUGGAGCAACGAGCAGGCAAAUGCCACCAUGGUCAAGCUGGAUAGAGUUCUCUUUAAUGAGGAAUGGGAUGCUCUGUUUCCUAGUUGUCUGCUACAAGCACUUUCUACCGAGAUGUCCGACCACUGUCCUGGCAGCGGACAACCUACGUAA